rnacentral:rRNA from 1 species
AGUGAACGCUGGCGGUAGGCCUAACACAUGCAAGUCGAACGGCAGCACAGUAAGAGCUUGCUCUUACGGGUGGCGAGUGGCGGACGGGUGAGGAAUACAUCGGAAUCUACUUUUUCGUGGGGGAUAACGUAGGGAAACUUACGCUAAUACCGCAUACGACCUACGGGUGAAAGCAGGGGAUCUUCGGACCUUGCGCGAUUGAAUGAGCCGAUGUCGGAUUAGCUAGUUGGCGGGGUAAAGGCCCACCAAGGCGACGAUCCGUAGCUGGUCUGAGAGGAUGAUCAGCCACACUGGAAGUGAGACACGGUACAGACUCCUACGGGAGGCAGCAGUGGGGAAUAUUGGACAAUGGGCGCAAGCCUGAUCCAGCCAUACCGCGUGGGUGAAGAAGACCUUCGGGUUGUAAAGCCCUUUUGUUGGGAAAGAAAAGCGGCAGGUUAAUACCCCGCUGUUCUGACGGUAACCAAAGAAUAAGCACCGGCUAACUUCGUG